UCUCCUCUUGUAAGUCGAUCGCCUCAGGCAUCGCCAUCUACCUUUAUCUGUGGCUCCUCUCCUCUCGUAAGUCGAUCGCCUCAGGCAUCACCAUUUACCUUUAUCCGUGGCUCCUCUCCUUGCUUCGUCCGUCGACUCUUGUUCCGUUUAGGUAGCACCCAUUAUGUAGAACCCUUUGUAUGAUAACAUAGGUAGAAUUC
rnacentral:lncRNA from 1 species